rnacentral:rRNA from 1 species
AAGUAGAAAAACCGGAAGGUUUUUCUAAA